AGCUAUCAGCCACCUGGGUGACUCUGGCAGACACCUGCAACACAAGCAAUCAGGCACAGAACUAGACACAUAUUCCAUCAGUGGUCAGACGAAGGCCAAAUAUGGAGUCGUACCUUAGUCACGAUGGAUGAUCCUGAAGAAUCGUAAACCCAGCCAUCUUGACAAGUGGUG